CCUACGGGAGGCAGCAGUGGGGAAUAUUGCACAAUGGGGGAAACCCUGAUGCAGCGACGCCGCGGGAGUGAAGAAGGAUUUCGGGAUGUAAAGCUCUAUCAGCAGGGAAGAAAAGGACGGUACCUGAGGAAGAAGCCCCGGCGAACUACGUGCCCGCAGCCGCGGUAAUACGUAGGGGGCAAGCGUGAUCCGGAUUUACUUGGUGUAAAGGGAGCGUAGACGGCAGCACAAGUCUGGAGUGAAAUGCCGGGGCUUAACCCCGGAACUGCUUGGGAAACUGUGCAGCGAGAGUGCAGGAGAGGUCAGUGGACUUCCUAGUGUAGCGGUGCAAUGCUUCGAUAUUAGGCGGCACCCCAGUGGCGCAGGCGGCUUACUGGACUGUAACUGCCGUUGCGGCUCGAAAGCGUGGGGAGCAAACCGGAUUAGAUACCCUUGUAGUC
rnacentral:rRNA from 1 species